UUGUGUUUUCAUUUAGAAACAUUUCAAAUAGACAAUCAAAUCAGCUUCAAUUGUGCGCCCUUAAAGUUCAUUUCAUUUAUGAAUUUUGUUAGAUUUAGCUUAUCUUCAUGGCUUCAAAUUUUUGGUUGCCUUCUUAUGACUGCAUGCUUGUGUUUGUCGUCGGGCUCAGAGUCACAUGUCAAUGUCAGCAAAGACUCUUGGGAGUUCGUGCUACCCGAUAGAGAAAGCUUCCUGGGCUCCGAUUGCGCCGCUCGAAGUCCCUAUUUCUGCUACAAGCAUUUCUGGACAAAUUAUACUCGUGAAAGGCGAAGUCGUUCAGUCCUUGACAUGGCAAACUUCAUUCGAAUGAUACAGCCGAUUUACUUGAAACUCAACUGGUUCUCUUUCAGAAAAAUCGACCAGCC